AGAGUUUGAUCCUGGCUCAGAACGAACGCUGGCGGCAGGCCUAACACAUGCAAGUCGAGCGCCCAGCAAUGGGAGCGGCGGACGGGUGAGUAACACGUGGGAAUUUUCCUCAAGGUACGGAACAACUCAGGGAAACUUGGGCUAAUACCGUAUGAUGCAGAGAUGCCAAAGAUUUAUCGCCUUGGGAUAAGCCCGCGUCAGAUUAGGUAGUUGGUGAGGUAACGGCUCACCAAGCCUGUGAUCUGUAGCUGGUCUGAGAGGACGAUCAGCCACAUUGGGACUGAGACACGGCCCAAACUCCUACGGGAGGCAGCAGUGGGGAAUCUUGCGCAAUGGGCGAAAGCCUGACGCAGCCAUGCCGCGUGAAUGAUGAAGGUCUUAGGAUUGUAAAGUUCUUUCGCUCGUGACGAUGAUGACGGUAACGAGAGAAGAAGCCCCGGCUAACUUCGUGCCAGCAGCCGCGGUAAUACGAAGGGGGCUAGCGUUGUUCGGAAUUACUGGGCGUAAAGCGCGCGUAGGCGGUUUUGCAAGCCAGAGGUGAAAUGCCCGAGCUCAACUUGGGAAUUGCCUUUGGGACUGUGAGGCUUCGAGGACGGAAGAGGUGAGUGGAAUUCCCAGUGUAGAGGUGAAAUUCGUAGAUAUUGGGAAGAACACCGGUGGCGAAGGCGGCUCACUGGUCCGUUUCUGACGCUAAAGCGCGAAAGCGUGGGGAUCAAACAGGAUUAGAUACCCUGGUAGUCCACGCUGUAAACGAUGAGUGCUAGGCGUCGGCAGGCUUGCCUGUCGGUGCCGCAGCUAAC
rnacentral:rRNA from 1 species